rnacentral:lncRNA from 1 species
GUAAACAGCAUGAAUUUGGGAUUCUACAAUUACUCAGGCAAAAACUUGAAUCAUUGUGUUUCAGUCUUCUUACAUUAAAUGAGAAUACAAACUCAUUAAAAUAGGUACUCCCAACAUAUUGAAGAAAAGAACUCAUAAGAAUUGAAAGAGAUGUCAUAAAUACAUUGAUACAUAGGGCCUGGCACAUAUUUAAAGUGGGUGCAUGCUGCAUGCACACGUGUGUACCUGUUAUUUAUAUUUUCCCCACAAAUAACUAUGUAGUAUAUUGGCAGAGAGCGCCUCCUGCAUGCCCUGUACUUGCUGCUGGAAUUAGGAAGCCCUAGGUACCAUGAUGAGAAGGAGAAGACAAGUGAGUCUUUAGUUCACAUGCAGUUCAUUCUAUUUUUGACAUACUGUAAAGAUCUUUAUAUCUGUUAACUCCCACCCAUAUGCAGAGAGAAUCAAAGUAUUGUAAUUAUUUUCCCAACAGCCAGCCUUCUAAGAUCCACCCAUGUUGUACACAGAAAUUUCUAAGUGUACAUGGUACAGUACAAGACCAAAUGAAAUUUGAGCAAUGAAGAGAAAAGGCUCCGUAAACACUUGAUUGUCAUAAUCAUUGAACUUGCACUGGUAUCAUUCCAUUUUAUUCAAAAUGGUUUCCCAUGUUAGCUGUAUAAUGUAUUUUACAUGUCAACAGUGAAAGUGAGAUUAGUAGUGUGUGCAUUUUGAGAGACUGAUAAUUUAAACACUUUAACCAUCCACAGAAAAAAUCUGAAAGUACCACCUCUGUGAGAAUUGGUGUUCUCAUUUCUUUCCUGUUCAGGCAAGAGGAUGACAGCAACAGGAGAGCUGCAAUCAUGCUCCUUCUUUCAAAGCAGUCUCUAUGCUGGGUCACUGUCUGCGGUCAAAAUGUGAAUGUCUGCUUCCAUCUGAUUAGUUUUAUUCAGAAAGUCAAGGAGAGGGAUGAAAGGGGGAAGCCAUAGGAUAAUUGCUUUUAUUUCAGCUUAUUGCAGAGAGGAAAUGUGCAGCAGAUAAUAUAACACAUAUGCAUCAAAAAAGGAUCAUUCACUUCUGAUAAAGUGUGGAUGGGGAGGAAAUAAAGCUGAUGCAAACUCCCCACUGUCUGCAAAUCUAUUUAAAGUAUGAGAGAAUUCCAAUGGAAGUGGUGCAAAUUCAUCUUUAAUAUAGGAAUUCUUCUUUAAAAUAUCUGAAAUAUCGUGGCUUUUGUAGGAUGAAACAGGACCAUAGAGACCACCUUUCUUUUAUUCGCACCAUAAAUCAGCAUUUUUUGGCUGGUGUACAACAGGCAGUCUGAGAACUGAAUUCAGCACUAUAGGCCAAAUCUUUAAGCUGCCCAGCAUGUAUUUCUCUGUGAUUUUCUUUAAAUUUUUUUAAUUUUUAAUUUUUUUAUUUUAGAAUCUAAUUUUAUUAUAUUCACCCCAACUUCUCCAACAAAUAUUUAAGAUCAGUAACUAAGCAUGGAACAAUGUCCAAAGCUGUUCCGUUCCCCACCUUAGAGUGUAAGCUGGUUGUACUUAUGUUACUGAGUGGUUUAGGCCAGCACCCUUGAGGUCAGAGUCUCUGCUCACCCAGUGUUGCUGGUGGGGCAGCUACCAUGCCUGCAGUUGUGGUCCAGAGGAUGUCUGUGCUGAAUACAGAUACUGACACAAUGGAAGCUACUUCUCCUUGAAUCAAGCAAAAACAAAACCAAAAACGAUAGAAAGAAGUCCCAAUAUCUAAUAGCUUGUCAAUGUAAUUCAGGAUAUACAUUGAUGUUAUAACCACUUUUAAGGUUGGUUAAUGAAGGAACUGGCCUAGGCCCACUGCAGUGUGACUUUGGGAUAAGGUCCAAACAGAUAAACACUCUUCUUAGAUCUGCACAGCAGCAGAUACUUUUGCAAGUAACAUCAGAAUAGUAGAAGUUUAUGUGCUAUACUUACUUGAAUAACUAUCUGGGAAAGAUUAAGAAUAAAAUUGCCACCUUUAAAAAUGUUUCAUCUGUUUUGUGAUUUUUUUUAAAGAAGAUUCCACAUAACUCAAGGAGUAACUUGAGAACUGAAAGAUUACAUAUCUGUACCUUGUACAACGCUUGUAAAACCACAGCUUUCUAUAAUCUGUGUUUAGGAAUGAAUGUGAGAAGGCUGCAGUUAGGUAGUGUCCUGUUCCCCUCCAAAUUUUUACAGUUCAUUAGAAACAUAUGCUUUUACCUUUCUUUUUUUUUUUUUUUUUUUUGUCACCAAGAUAUCUGAAGGUGGUUUGAACAGAAGCAGCCAGACAUUUUUUCCCCCUCAGAAGUAGAUUAAAGAAACAGUAUUGAAGAGAACAAUUCUGAAAGCAGCCAACUAUCAACCGACUUGGGCAUUUGAAAUAAUAUUGGAAGUGUUUUCUGGUGUUGUUUAUAGUUUCUGACUGAAACAACAUGGAGAACUGGUAGUGAACAUCCAGUAAUAACAAUAACAAUUUCAUAAGGGAACUAGGAAACGGUAGCACAAACAUCUGGCACACUAUUUACAGUCACCAGCUCUACAAAGAAAUCUACAAAGGUCAUGGUCAUAGAUUUUUCAACUCUUGUCAGGACCAGGCACUAAAUUUAAACUAUCAUCUAGGGGGAUAUUGAAAUACCCAAAUAAUUUUGAUUUUAUUUUAGAUUUAUUUACAGUCUACUACCAUUUUUUAAAUGAUCUUUCAUGUCUUUGCUAUUAUAAGGGUGGAAGAACAUAAAGCUGAGGAACUUGAGUCUUGUCCUGGCUUUGUCUUUAAUUAACUGAGUAACUAUGAGAUAGGUGAUCAUGAAAGAGAUGGACUCCAUAAUUUCUAAAGUCCCUUCUAGCUUUAUAUUUUUUCAAAAUAUUUACAUUGUUUCCAUCAAAACUGUUGGUGCUUCAAUGAUGAUUAUGUGUCCAAGGAGCUAAUGUUAUACUUGGUAUAUUGCAUAUGUCAAGACCUAAGAAAGAAUGCAGAGGAACCCCUCAGUGAAUGGGGAAAGGGUCUCAGAAUGUUGGCUUCCAUUGGUUCUCAUUGAAGUGAAAUAUCUUGGGGCAACUGUUUUUAAGGAGAGAUACU